UACGUAGGCAGCGAGCGUUUGUUCGGAGUUACUGGGCGUAAAGGGUGUGUAGGCGGUUUGGUAAGUCUGGUGUGAAAUCUCCCGGCUCAACUGGGAGGGUGCGCCGGAAACUGCCGGACUAGAGUGCGGGAGAGGAGAGUGGAAUUCCUGGUGUAGCGGUGAAAUGCGUAGAUAUCAGGAGGAACACCGGUGGUGUAGACGGCUCUCUGGACCACAACUGACGCUGAGGCGCGAAAGCUAGGGGAGCAAACAGG
rnacentral:rRNA from 1 species